rnacentral:misc_RNA from 1 species
GUUUAUGACUGAUUUUGUGGACCAAAUGACAUCCAGGAAGGCCAAAGAACAAAUUAUAAAGUUUUCGAUGCAUCAAUGAAGGGGGCGAAGAAAAAGUUUAUUUCUUUCGCNAGAAACAUAAGUGAAAAUGUAGAAAUGUUAUGUGCCGGUGUUUGGUUUCAAUGAUAGAAACGAAACCCAUAAAGGCCAAAUGGAAAAUAUCUAUAUGGAACGAACCUAUGCUUUCUUUAGCUGAAAAUUAUAAACGUUAACCGAUCCCAAUCCAAUGAAUUAACGAUCCAGUAAAAGCGAAAGAAACCAAACUUCCAAAUCAAAUUUUCAAUAUGGAAAUGGUCAAAA